UACGUAGGGUGCGAGCGUUAAUCGGAAUUACUGGGCGUAAAGCGUGCGCAGGCGGUUUUGUAAGCCAGAUGUGAAAUCCCCGGGCUCAACCUGGGAAUUGCAUUUGUGACUGCACGGCUAGAGUGUGUCAGAGGGGGGUAGAAUUCCGCGUGUAGCAGUGAAAUGCGUAGAGAUGCGGAGGAACACCGAUGGCGAAGGCAGCCCCCCUGGGCUAACACUGACGCUCAGGCACGAAAGCGUGGGGAGCAAACAGG
rnacentral:rRNA from 1 species